CCUACGGGAGGCAGCAGUGGGGAAUAUUGCACAAUGGGCGAAAGCCUGAUGCAGCGACGCCGCGUGAGUGAAGAAGUAUUUCGGUAUGUAAAGUUCUAUCAGCAGGGAAGAAAAUGACGGUACCUGAUUAAGAAGACCCGGCUAACUACGUGCCAGCAGCCGCGGUAAUACGUAGGGGGCAAGCGUUAUCCGGAUUUACUGGGGGUAAAGGGGGCGUAGACGGCAGCGCAAGUCUGAAGUGAAAUGCCGGGGCUUAACCCCGGAACUGUUUUGGAAACUGUGCAGCUAGAGUGCAGGAGAGGUAAGUGGAAUUCCUAGUGUAGCGGUGAAAUGCGUAGAUAUUAGGAAGAACACCAGUGGCGAAGGCGGCUUACUGGACUGUAACUGACGUUGAGGCACGAAAGCGUGGGGAGCAAACAGGAUUAGAUACCCUUGUAGUC
rnacentral:rRNA from 1 species